AGAGUUUGAUCCUGGCUCAGGAUGAACGCUGGCGGCGUGCUUAACACAUGCAAGUCGAACGGUGAACACGGAGCUUGCUCUGUGGGAUCAGUGGCGAACGGGUGAGUAACACGUGAGCAACCUGCCCCUGACUCUGGGAUAAGCGCUGGAAACGGCGUCUAAUACUGGAUAUGUGACGUGACCGCAUGGUCUGCGUUUGGAAAGAUUUUUCGGUUGGGGAUGGGCUCGCGGCCUAUCAGCUUGUUGGUGAGGUAAUGGCUCACCAAGGCGUCGACGGGUAGCCGGCCUGAGAGGGUGACCGGCCACACUGGGACUGAGACACGGCCCAGACUCCUACGGGAGGCAGCAGUGGGGAAUAUUGCACAAUGGGCGAAAGCCUGAUGCAGCAACGCCGCGUGAGGGAUGACGGCCUUCGGGUUGUAAACCUCUUUUAGCAGGGAAGAAGCGAAAGUGACGGUACCUGCAGAAAAAGCGCCGGCUAACUACGUGCCAGCAGCCGCGGUAAUACGUAGGGCGCAAGCGUUAUCCGGAAUUAUUGGGCGUAAAGAGCUCGUAGGCGGUUUGUCGCGUCUGCUGUGAAAUCCCGAGGCUCAACCUCGGGCCUGCAGUGGGUACGGGCAGACUAGAGUGCGGUAGGGGAGAUUGGAAUUCCUGGUGUAGCGGUGGAAUGCGCAGAUAUCAGGAGGAACACCGAUGGCGANCCCCGUCUGAUCCGGGGGAAUCAUCCGUGCGGGGGCCUGCGACACGCCCGAGGGUGUGCGCCCGAUUUGCCAGACCCCCGGAAUCCACGUAACUUAUUACUUGUUCGCCCCACAGGGAAGCGGAGAAGCCCAGAGCUUCACCCCCCUCAAGCGGAGAACCACUCCCGAUCCACUCUCACUUGAGAGAUCAGGCGCUUGCGUCUAGGAUGGGAGAUCCACCCCUUCUGCGGCUGUCAUCAGCUGCGCAGCGGAUCCAAGAUUCGCACGGCGCGCCGAUUUGACAAGCGGGUCGGGAUGGCUAAGAUAGAGAAGUUGCCCUGCGGGCCUGGCUGUGAUGGCUGGGUCGUGGGAGCAUCCGAUCCUUGAGAACUCAACAGCGUGCACUUGU
rnacentral:rRNA from 1 species